rnacentral:Y_RNA from 1 species
GGCUGGUCUGAUGGUAGUGGGUUAUCAGAACUUAUUAACGCUAGGAUCACUAAAGUUGGUAUUCUACCCCUCUGCCCCUCACUACUGAGUUUGACUGACUUUUU